rnacentral:lncRNA from 1 species
UUUUGUUAAGAUGCUCUAGGAAGAUAUUUUCACCCACCAGGAGGUCAAACCAGAAAAAAAAAAAUUGAGUUAUAAACCAAAGAGGCACCCUGUUAUCCUAUUUGAUUCCACUGUAGGUUGAGUGCAUGCAGUGACGGUUCAGAAUUCAUGUUAUUAAGCAGCAGUACUUUGAUCAAGUCUUUGUUGACUUAUGUUUGAUCGACGUAGUUACCAUGCUUGAAUCAUCUACAAUUCUUGAUCUUGAGGUACCACUUCCUUAAUGCAAUUUAUGCACAAAUAUAUCUUGGUAUAACUAUAAGCAUGAUAAUGAGAUAGCAAGGAUACCUUUAUGGAGAUAUUGAAGAGCCAUUCCACGAUAUUUGUGAAGACAUUAUAUAUCUAUCACGAGUGAUGAUUUCAAGGU